rnacentral:lncRNA from 1 species
AUCUCAUGGCCGUUUGCGACGACCACACAGAGCAAUGUCCACGUUCCAUCGCUGAGAUCUUUAAGCACAACAAUCUCGCCUUACCUGCUGCUAAUCUUACUUCUCAAGUCGAAGAAAUGUGGUACCUCGACCAAGCAGCUGCCUCAUUGCUUUAGAGAGUCAAACACCUUGAUAAUGGUGUCCUUAUAUGAAUAAUAAUCUCUCUAUGUUGCUUUGUGGACCGAUCGAGUUGUUUCUGUUUGCAUGCAUUUGUGUUGAAUAAGCGGCUAAUAAUAAUGCAUUUUGCGUACAUAUGUUACGUACCAAAUGUAUCGAAACGCCGAUUUGUUGUUUCUCUACACAGUUGAUUGAACCAUUACAUGAUGUAGUGAAACACAUAUAUCUCAUGUGUACUUUUCAUUCCCUAAGAUGUUAAGACUGAGUUUAACCAAGAAAAUAACAAUCCUGAGUUCGGUAGAGAACAUGUUUUACAUGAAGAUGUAUGGUAGAGAAAAUUGAAGUUGGUAGUUAGAACUUUGAACAGUCUACUCCUGAAUUACUCUGUAGAAUCUAGUUCACAUAUUCAGAAAGUACGGUACACAUAUUCAAAUUAAAUUUACGUUGUAACCAGUGGCGGGACACAAGAUUAAAUUUUACCUGGGUCAAACCAUGAAAAAAAAUUAAAAGUGUCAACUCUGGAGUUUGAAACUAGGUUUAGGGGUGUCAUCCAAGUUAUUUUACCAACAGAGCUAGUGAUAUUUCAAUGCUAAUCCCUACAAAACAAAUAUUUAUCCAGAUUUAAGGGGUGUCAUGUGACACCCCAUCCUCUCAAAUGGGUCUGCCACUGGUGGUAACCACUUUUGUUGGCAGAUGGUUGUAACCACUUUUGUUGGCAGAAAUAAUAAAUUGUGCAGAGUAUCAAGAGGUGAUUGGAAUGAGCAGUAAUUUUAUGUUUUUUGGUGUAGAAUUUAAGUUGUAGAUUUAUUUGAUGUAGAUUAUUUUGUUGUAGCUUUGUAAAUCACUAUUUUUUUGCUCUGAAAAUAAAGUUUUUUACAUCUAUAUUUUAAUUUUGUAGAGAUUUUUUUGUUGUGAAUUUUUUAAAUAAAAGAAAGCUCGAUUGGUUAACAUAUAUUGUUUUAGACUAAACUAGGGGGUGUCCGCGCUGCGCGCAGAAUAUUAUUUUAUGGUUGUUAAGUAUGAUGUUUUUGAAUGAUGUAAUUAUAUGGUCAUUAUUUAUUUGUGAAGAACAUGAUUUAGUAUUUUAUUGUGUGAUGUAGUAUUAGGUUAUAGGUUAAUAUAUUAUGUGUUUGUCUUUUUAAUAAUAUGUUGUUGUGUGUAUAGUAGUAUGUCAGUGGUGAAAUGAGCUUCUGAUGUUAAGCAUUUUGAAUUUCAAUAAAUUUUCAUUUAAGCAUUUAUUGAUUCUAACAUUAACGGUUUAAGCGUCAACAUUGUAUUUAAUAUUUUCACAUUUUUGAACACUAUUCUUUUUGUUAACAACGUCGAACAUUAUUCUCCUAAGAUGUUUUUUCCUUCUCCGCAUAUUUUAACUUGAGCCAUCACCAUCUAUGUAUUUCGUUUACAUUUCCAGUGUGCGGUGUUUCUUACCAUCACCGGAAAAAGUCGUACCUUCGUUUCUCUUGUUUUUCUUCGUCUUUUUCUCUUGUGAGAUUAUCUAAUAUUUGUUGUAGAUCAGGUUUAUGAGUUCCCAGUUGUGCGGUUGUUUCUCAUGAUGUUGUACGCUGUUCUGGUCAAUAUUUGUCCUCUUCUUCCUUAAAUUUGGCUAAUGUUAAGAACUACAUCUCCUUGGGUUAGUCAGAGUUUAGUUGUCUUUAAUGUUGUCUUCCUCGUAGUUGGCUUGUCGUUGAUAGUCACUGCUCGUCUUGGUUUUUAAGAUCUAUUUUUUUGCUGAUUUGACUUUUACGUUCUCUUCAUAGAUCGAGGAUGGCUCCACAGUUUAUUGAUUUUUUUGUAGUCUCCUUUUCUCUCUUUGUUCUCUCAUCUCGUUGCACUUUUCAUCGCUGGCUGCGUCUUCGGUGGCUCUCUAUUUUGCCAUGUUUGCCACUCCAGAUUUGGAUAGUGUUUUCCUUCGUGUAUGUUAUGUGGGCUUGUAAGAUUAUUUCUUGUCUCAAACUUGAGAUUUGGUUUCUUUGUGGUUAGCUUCCAUUCUCCCUCAUUUAUGUUGUUUUUCUUCUUUUCCUGAUUCCCUUGGUAUAGGUGUGUGGAGUUAGUCUCUUGGAGCUUUGGUCUCUUCUAUUCAGAGCUUUGUGAUUCUUCGUUGGCAAUGAGCGCCUUGUAUGUGGUUGUUUGUUUGUGAGGUGCUUCUUAACUCUUAGCUGGUGGUUGUGCUUUAGGCAUGUGUUAGUGUUACUAUAGUAUUUUGCUUUUUCUUUGUGAUUUUGAAAAUUUAGGUUUAGAUUAUGUAUCGUACUCUAGUUUUAUUAGUUUAGUUAUUUUAUAGAUUUUAAUAGUCAAAUAAAUUUAUAAUUUGUAAAUAAAAUAAUAGAAAAUAUCAAAAAUAAAAGUUUAUGUUAUUUUUUAUUUAUGAAUAAAUAAAAUAUUUAAAAUAUAUUUAUAUUAUAUUUUUUAUUCAUCUUUAAUUUUACUGACCAAUAAAAUAGAUUAUAAAAUUUCAUAUGAUAACGGUUAGUGUGAGAAAGAUUUUAUGGCACAAUUAGAAAGUAUUAAGUCAAAUUGUAAAAGUGUAAAAGAAGAAGGACCUAAAAUGUAAAAACAAAAAAUAUAUGGGGACACAUGUCAUCAAAUCCCCCUGCCACUUGUCAUAAGAAGAGAAAAAGUUAACUUUAUAUAUAUAUAUAUAUAUUUUGGCUGUUUAGAGCAUCUACGGCCGCAACCAAUCACGCCCUGAGUUACAUUCGUUAAACAUGUGACAAAGAUGACAAUUACUAUCAUCUCUUUCCUGUUUGUCACCGGUAGAAGUCCAAUCCCAUUGUAAAAUCAUUUAUCUUAGAUUGGAUUCGAAUCCUUCUCGACCUGGUCCAUAACUUAGCAACCACCUUCCAUAACAGUCGGAGACUUGAACGUUAGAGAAUUUUGAGGAGGACAAAACUCUUUUUUUUUCUUCUUAUAGACAUAUGAUGCAAAAUGCACAUGUAAGCUGUAAAGGAUAUCGACAAUUUUUUAUGUAUGAUUUCUUAUUGGAAAAAUUUGCGACAAAAAUGUAACGAUGAUUAAUAUUUUAAGUUAAGUUGCGCCGAAUUCAAUGUUAAUUUCCAACUUUGAGAAAAUCAUGAAACACAAACAGAAUUCAGUAUUUGAUUUCAUAUAUUGUUUUGAGGGCAUAUUCUCUUGCAGACGCGUAUAAGUAAUUAAAAGAAAACAAAACAAAAAGUGAGAACGACAAUACGUCCAAUAAUAAAAAGUCACGUUUUCCACCUCACUAACUUAAAGUCACGUCCAAUAAGUAAAAGUCACAAGCAGCUCCUAAAACCACUUGAUCUCUAUAAAAUGCAAGAAACCCCAACCCUUAACAACAUAUACAAACACACACUUUAUAGGCAACGAUGACAGAAGCUACGCACAGGAAAUGGCAUAAGUUUCCGAGCAAGGAUGAAUUGUCGGUAGCAAUGGCUAAGUACACUGCCCAUCUCUCGGAGAAGUUCUGUAAGGAGAAAGGCCUUUUCACUGUUGUUCUCUCCGGCGGUGGCCUUAUCGACUGGCUCUGGUCUACAAAUCUUCUCCAUUUCACUCUCCUCCUAAUUUUCUUUUCUUAAAGAAUAGUCUAAUAGUAUGUGAUGCUUUAAUUAAUCAAAUGUUGCAGCAAGUUAUUGGAACCUCCGUACAAAGAUUCAAUCGAAUGGUCAAAGUGGCACGUCUUUUGGGUCGACGAGAGGGUUUGUGCAUAUGAAGAUCCAGACAGCAACUACAAACUCGCCAUGGAUGGUUUUCUCUCCAAGGUUUUAUUAUUUUUUCGAUUAGUUAUUACUUAUCAUUUAGCAAGUGGUAUAUAUAUAUAUAUAUAUCGUCAUGCUUAUAUAUACUAAAACAAUUUUAUUUUUCUGGGUGUAUUUAGGUUGGGAUUCCGAAUGAGAACAUCUAUGCAAUCGACAAACACUAUGCCGCUGAUGGUAACGCGGAGCACUGCGCGGCGCUCUACGAGGAGUGUUUGAGGAACCUGGUGAAGCAAAACAUACUCCCACUAUGUCCAAAUGGCAAGUAUCCUCAGUUCGAUCUCCAGCUUCUAGGGAUGGGUCCUGAUGGCCACAUGGCGUCUCUCUUCCCUGGACAUCCACAGAUCAAUGUCAAGGACAAAUGGGUCACUCACAUUACUGACUCUCCAAAACUGCCACCUAGGAGAAUCACAUUCACUUUACCGGUCAUUAACUCGGCUUCGUACAAUCUUAUGGCCGUUUGCGACGACCACACAGAGCAGUGUCCACGCUCCAUCGCUGAUAUCUUUAAGCACAACAAUCGAGCCUUACCUGCUGCUCAUCUUACUGCCCGUGUCGAAACUAUGUGGUACCUAGACAAAGCAGCUGCAUCAUUGCUUUAGAGAGUCAAGCACCUUAAUAAUGGUGUCCUUUAUAUGAAUAAUAAUCUCCUAAGUCAUGAUUUGUGGAUCGUGUUGUUGGAGUUUGCUUGCAUGCGUGUUAAAUUACCGGCUAAUAAUGCACUUUUUUGCGUAUGUAUUUUACAUACCAAAUGUAUUGAAACGCCGAUUUGUUGUUUAUGUCUAGUUAGUUAUCUUGUGUUUGAGGCAUAGGCUAUGACCCUGUGUUAUAAUAAUAAUAAGGUUUUCGAAACAGAGUCUCUGUUAAACCAAUGAAAUGAAACAGAGUUAAACACUUCCGCCAAAGCUUUGAUAUCUAAAAGGAUUCCAUGCAAAUCUGAUAUGGUUGAGCCCUCUCGUAUUGCCGUCACCAAUACCAAAAGAGAUUUGUGUUAAAGUUUAUCUAUCAUAUCAAUAAAAAACGUAUUUAGAAACUUUGAUCAUGAGAGAGUCUUGUAAAAAAAGGAAAAUAUGUGUUAAAGUCUUUACAGAUGACUAAAUGAGUGUAAACAACAUUAAUAAUUAAUGCGGAGUUAGGUUAGGUAAACAAAAUUGAAGCGGCUCGCUUUCAUAUGAAUCAAUCAACUCGUGAAUUACCCUUUAACGGUUGUCUAAUUUACCAAGAUUGAGUUAUGUUCGACCUCAUACAACUCACUAUCCUAAACACAGAGACAUAGAAACCAAGAAGGUAACAGACGAGGCAGACACAAACAUCAACUACUAUCAUGUAACACCCAUGCCAACACUCCAGUGUGUAUAUUCAGAACACUCAUAGCCAUAUAUUAUAUUCCUCAAGAAGUUUCUUAACGGUUCUCUUAGCGAGAUUUUUGAUUUCACGAUAGCCAAAUUGCCUAAGAUCCUCGAUCUAUUUCAAACCAUUUGCACUACGACUACGAGCAAGUUGUUUGUAAGAAUCUCCUCAAGUAAAAUACAUUUGCACUACGACUACGACUACGCCUCUGAUUUCCGCGGGUCUUGAAGAUCUCCUCAAGACCAAACAAGGUGGGAGGAGAGAAUGGUUGGAUUAUCAUUUUUGAAAAAACACACAACUUUGGUAUACAUUCGUAAAGUACAAACAAUAUGCAAGGAUCGAUUUCAAUUCAAUAACUAGUAAAAUACAUAGUGAAAAGAAACUGAUUUUUGAAAUUUUUACCUGGCCAGAACUCUAAUGCACAUGCUCAUUUUUAAAUGGCUAUGUUUUUAUUUUAAAAUUAAAAUUAAUUAUUUAACAAAAAUACAGUAAAAUAUUAUAUUCUGUAGUUCAGAAACUCAAAAUCCUUUAGAGCAUUUUUAUCCAAGGAUAAUAGAGGGGUUCUUAUCGUGUGGGUCCCGCAUAGGACCCUUUUUUUUUUAAGAAACCAGUUACCAAAACUACCAAAUAGUAGUCGGUCUUUAAGGGUUUCUUACACUGUUCGCGGAUCCCACUGACACGUGGCGGCCCGCGAUUGAUUCGUUUUUAAUUUUUUUUUCUUUUAAAUUUGAAAAAGUAAACAAAAAAAAAAUUAUAUGGGAUAAUGAUGCUCUUAGAAAUAAAAUAAGAAAAUAAUAAAUGUUUUUGCAUGGAAAAGUAGAGAGAAAUGGAUUGUGAACUAGAGAACAGAACGAGUAACUAUUCUCGAUCAUUACUCAUUCUAAAAUACAUAUAAGAAUUCACGUAUCUAUAUGUGCAUUGAUUUGCUACAAAGUAUGGUGUCACGUAUACACAUUCAUGAUUCAUGAUUCAUGGUUCCGUCUCUUCCCAAGUUAUGCAGGCAACAGCCUUUUCAUUUCUUCAUCUUCAGUUGCAGCAGCUUCACAUGCGUUUCAUCACCUUCUCCGUUUUCUUUCUCUUGUAAAAGUAGUCAUUUUCUAUGCUCUGUAUUUCGAAACGUACCCUUUUGGGUUGAACAAUAAAAUGAAUAUAUAUAUAUAUAUACAACUUCACAUUUUUUGAUAAAUUCUUACGCAGUUUAUAUUUUCUUUUCAUCAGCUGAUUUUUUGUUAAUGAUUCUUUAACCAUCCCAGAAAAAAAGAAACAAAACGGAAAAACAUUUUUUUGGACAAACUUUAGUAAAAGGCGGAAGAACUGGUCAAAUGGACAAUGAACUAUUUUUGCUAUCUAUUGUUUCUUUUAUUGGAAAAAUCACCACCAAUUGUAACGGUGAAUAAUAUCUUGAGUGAAUUAUGCUGAUUCAAGCUGAGAGCAUCUCCAAAAAGGAACUAUAUUUUGAAGUUUCCAAAACUCUAUAUUUGAAGUUUCAAUAUGUUCUUCUCCAAAAGUAAAACUUCAAACAUAACUUCAAAAUUAUUUAUAUUUUACACUAUGGUCCUUAUAUUUGUCAUAGUUGAUGUAAAUUCAUAAAACUUCUAUAAAUAACUACUACAUAUAUAUAAAUAUUACAGAAAUAUUAAUUAAAAUAUCUUACACUAAAAUAUAAAAUUAUAAAUAAAAAUACAUAAUUAAAUAUUAAACUGCAAGCAAAUACUACAUUAUUCCAUAAAAUUAUUUCCGUAAUGCUCCCUUAUAUAAUCAACUAGUGCAUUUCGAAGUAAGAAAUGAUUCUCUUUAUUUUUUAUUUGUAGAUUACGAGCCAAAAAUUGUUGAAAACGGAUAUCCUCAUAAUAUACCCGCUGAUAGUUUGAUAUCAUUAAACGAAAAAAUUCAUGAUCUUUUAAACGAAAGUGCAACAAGCAGGGAAAAAAGUCAUUAGAUGAUUGAAUUACGACUGCAAAAUGAAGCAAAAAGUUAGCUUUAAUAUUACAGAAAUAUUAAUUAAAAUAUCUUACACUAAAAUAUAAAAUUAUAAAUAAAAAUACAUAAUUAAAUAUUAAACUGCAAGCAAAUACUACAUUAUUCCAUAAAAUUAUUUCCGUAAUGCUCCCUUAUAUAAUCAACUAGUGCAUUUCGAAGUAAGAAAUGAUUCUCUUUAUUUUUUAUUUGUAGAUUACGAGCCAAAAAUUGUUGAAAACGGAUAUCCUCAUAAUAUACCCGCUGAUAGUUUGAUAUCAUUAAACGAAAAAAUUCAUGAUCUUUUAAACGAAAGUGCAACAAGCAGGGAAAAAAGUCAUUAGAUGAUUGAAUUACGACUGCAAAAUGAAGCAAAAAGUUAGCUUUUAAAGAAGUAAAAGAGGAAAAUAAAAUAUUGCUAAAAAACUUAGCUUCUAUCGAUGAUGUUAAUAUUCGUGAAUACAUUCGAUCUGAACAAGAAAGAAUCGUACGAAAAAAGCGUCAAGAGCAACAACAACAAUCAUCUUCGGUUACACAAAAUUUGUUUGGACAAUAUUUUGGAGAUUUGGGAGGUUCUGGAGCAAAUUUACCAGACUAUUAGUGUUGUUAUAAUAUUUAAAUUUGAGUAAUAAUUAUGUCUUCAUGUGUCUUUUUAAUAAGUUUUUAUUAUGGUUUUUUGUAAUAUUCUUGUUGUUUAAUUCUAGUUUUAAAAUAUUAUAAAUCUUGUUUUAAAAUUUUUAUUUAAUUUCAUGUGUAAAACUUAAAUUUAUAAAACAUAUUUGAAAUAUUUAUGAGAUAUUAAAGUUUUAAGGAUUAAAACAAUAAACAAAAAAAUAUUUUAAGAAUUAUAAAUAUGAUAUAUAAUUGUAAGGACCAAAAUGCAAAUAAAAAGAUGAAACUUCAAAUUUGAAGUUUCUUUUCGGAGAGCAAAAAACUUCAUAUUUGGAGUUAUAGAAUUUAUUUUGGAUAUGCUACUAGGACAUCUUGAAACAAAAUCAUAAUUUUAUUAUUUUAUUUCUGAAACUGUUUUGAGGUUACAGGUGACUAAAAAAGUGAGAAGGACAACACGUCCAGUUUAAUAAUCCAAUGCCGAAUCACGUUACUAACUCAAACGUCACAUCCAGCUCCUAGAAGCACUCGAUCUCUAUAAAUAGCAAGAAACCCCCAACAAUCCUUAGCAAUAUAUACAAACACAUUUUUUCUUUUAACAACUUACAGCAUAUUCUUAAUAUAGGCAACGAUGGCAGAAACUACGCAGAGGAAGAGGGAGGUGUUUGCGAACAAGAAUGAAUUGUCGGUAGCAUUGGCUAAGUACACUGCUCAUCUCUCGGCCAAGUUCUGCAAGGAGAAAGGAAUUUUCACCGUUGUUCUCUCCGGCUGUGGCCUCAUCGAUUGGCUCGGGUAUACAUAUCCCAUUUCACUCCUAUUCUUUUUCUUUAUUUCUUAAAGACAAAUCUAGUGAUAUAUGAUGCUUUAACUAAUAAAUUGUUGCAGCAAGUUGUUGGAAUCACCAUAUAAAGAAUCAGUCGAAUGGUCAAAGUGGCACGUCUUUUGGGUGGACGAGAGGGUCUGUUCACAUGAAGAUCAAAACAGCAACUACAAACUCGCCAUGGAUGGUUUUAUCUCCAAGGUUUUAUCAUCGUUAUUAUUAUAUUUUCGAUUAGUUACCAUUUAUCACAUAACAAGUGGUUUCAUUAUUCAUAUCCAUUGAUAGCCGUGCAACAAAAAACCUCAAAUCUUUUGUUUGGUUAAAAUUUAACCACGUGUAUUUAGGUUGGGAUUCCGAAGGAGAACAUCUACGCAAUCGACAAACAAUGUGCCGCUGAUGGUGACGCAGAGCGUUGUGCGACGCUCUACGAGGAGUGCUUGAGGAACCUGGUGAAGGAAAAGAUACUCCCACUAUGUCCAAAUGGCCAAUAUCCUCAGUUCGAUCUCCAGCUCCAAGGGAUGGGUCCUGAUGGCCACAUGGCGUCUCUCUUCCCGGAACGUCCUCAGAUCAAGGUGACGGACAAAUGGGUCACUCACAUUACCGACUCCCCAAAACCGCCACCAAGGAGAAUCACAUUGACUUUACCGGUCAUCAACUCGUCUUUGUACAAUCUCAUGGCCGUUUGCGACGACCACACAGACCAGUGUGCACGUUCCAUCGCUGAUAUCUUUAAGAACAACAAUCUCGCCUUACCUGCUGCUCAUCUUACUGCCCAAGUCGAACAAAUGUGGUACCUUGACAAAGCAGCUGCUUCAUUGCUUUAGAGAGCUAAACACAUUAAUAAAUGGUGUCCUUUAUAUGAAUAAUUAUCUCUCCAAGUCAUGCUUUGUUGAGCAUGUUGUUGGAGACUUGGAGUUUGCUUGCAUGUGUGUCGAAUAACUGGCUAAUAAUGCAUUUUACGUAUUUACGUAUAGUACGUACCAAAUGAUUUGAAACACCAAUUACGCGUAUUUACGUAUAGUAUUUUGCGUAUUUACGUAUAGUACGUACCAAAUGACUUGUGCUUGAGUGACUAUGACCCUGUGUUAUAAUAAUGUCUUUCGAAACCGUUAUUUCAUUAAUGGUGAUGGUAUUUAGAUUUUUAUCACUAUGAAUUUGUGUAGAGUUUGUGAAUUUUGAAAGUUGAUAGAUUUAAAAAAAUUAUGUAGAUUGUGAAAAUUUAUAUACAUUGACUUAUGAAAUUCGAUCAUAACUUUUCUUAGAUUGAUAUAAAUUUUCAUGAAUUUGUAUUACAUCUUUUCUAUCAUUUUUUGUAAAAUAAAUAUAUAAUAUAUUUAUUUUCUAAAUCAUAUAGCAUGAUUAUUUAUUUUUUGCUUUCAAAUUAAAAAAAAACAAUACUGAUACAUACAAAAUUGAACAAUUAUAUAUUCAAAAUUGUAAACGUAUAUAAAUUUAAUGAAUUAUAGUUUUGAACAUAUAAUUUAGAUUUAAGGUGCAAUAGAUAAUAUUUGGUAAGAAUAAUUAUUUUGUUUUCUAGUAUAUUUAUCACAAAGAUUUUGAAAAUCACAUGGAUACAUAUGAUAUUUUUAAAGUUGAGUCUGGAGAAGCCAAUCGAUUGAUCCGGCCAUAAGAAUCACGUUGCUAACUAAAACGUCACAUCGAGCUCCUAGAAGCACUCGAUCUCUAUAAAUAGCAAGAAACCCCCAAUCCUUAACAAUAUAUACAAACACAUUUUUUGUUUUAACAACUUACAAACACAUUUCUUCUUUUAACAACUUACAAACACAUUCUUAAUAUAGGCAACGAUGGCAGAAACUACGCAGAGGAAGAGGGAGGUGUUUGCGACCAAGAAUGAAUUGUCGGUAGCAUUGGCUAAGUACACUGCUCAUCUCUCGGCCAAGUUCUGCAAGGAGAAAGGAAUUUUCACCGUUGUUCUCUCCGGCUGUGGCCUCAUCGAUUGGCUCGGGUAUACAUAUCCCAUUUCACUCCUAUUCUUUUUCUUUAUUUCUUAAAGACAAAUCUAGUGAUAUAUGAUGCUUUAACUAAUAAAUUGUUGCAGCAAGUUGUUGGAAUCACCAUAUAAAGAAUCAGUCGAAUGGUCAAAGUGGCACGUCUUUUGGGUGGACGAGAGGGUCUGUUCACAUGAAGAUCAAAACAGCAACUACAAACUCGCCAUGGAUGGUUUUAUCUCCAAGGUUUUAUCAUCGUUAUUAUUAUAUUUUCGAUUAGUUAUCAUUUAUCACGUAACAAGUGGUUUCAUUAUUCAUAUCCAUUGAUAGCCGUGCAAAAAAACCUCAAAUAUUUUUGUUUGGUUAAAAUUUAACCACGUGUAUUUAGGUUGGGAUUCCGAAGGAGAACAUCUACGCAAUCGACAAACAAUGUGCCGCUGAUGGUGACGCAGAGCGUUGUGCGACGCUCUACGAGGAGUGCUUGAGGAACCUGGUGAAGGAAAAGAUACUCCCACUAUGUCCAAAUGGCCAAUUUCCUCAGUUCGAUCUCCAGCUCCAAGGGAUGGGUCCUGAUGGCCACAUGGCGUCUCUCUUCCCGGAACGUCCUCAGAUCAAUGUGACGGACAAAUGGGUCACUCACAUUACCGACUCCCCAAAACCGCCACCAAGGAGAAUCACAUUGACUUUACCGGUCAUCAACUCGUCUUUGUACAAUCUCAUGGCCGUUUGCGACGACCACACAGACCAGUGUGCACGUUCCAUCGCUGAUAUCUUUAAGAACAACAAUCUCGCCUUACCUGCUGCUCAUCUUACUGCCCAAGUCGAACAAAUGUGGUACCUUGACAAAGCAGCUGCUUCAUUGCUUUAGAGAGCUAAACACAUUAAUAAAUGGUGUCCUUUAUAUGAAUAAUUAUCUCUCCAAGUCAUGCUUUGUUGAGCAUGUUGUUGGAGACUUGGAGUUUGCUUGCAUGUGUGUCGAAUAACUGGCUAAUAAUGCAUUUUACGUAUUUACGUAUAGUACGUACCAAAUGAUUUGAAACACCAAUUACGCGUAUUUACGUAUAGUAUUUUGCGUAUUUACGUAUAGUACGUACCAAAUGACUUGUGCUUGAGUGACUAUGACCCUGUGUUAUAAUAAUGUCUUUCGAAACCGUUAUUUCAUUAAUGGUGAUGGUAUUUAGAUUUUUAUCACUAUGAAUUUGUGUAGAGUUUGUGAAUUUUGAAAGUUGAUAGAUUUAAAAAAAUUAUGUAGAUUGUGAAAAUUUAUAUACAUUGACUUAUGAAAUUCGAUCAUAACUUUUCUUAGAUUGAUAUAAAUUUUCAUGAAUUUGUAUUACAUCUUUUCUAUCAUUUUUUAUAAAAUAAAUAUAUAAUAUAUUUAUUUUCUAAAUCAUAUAGCAUGAUUAUUUAUUUUUUGAUUUCAAAUUAAAAAGAAAAUAAUACUGAUACAUAUAAAAUUGAACAAUUUUUUUAAAUAGCCAUUUUAUAAGAUUUUGUCACAAAAAAACAUUUUAAAAAGAAAAUAACCGAAAGAAGUUUCAUUAAAAAUAUAAAAGACUAUUUUACCCCUUACGGUAUAGAUGUAUAAAAAAUAAAAAGUUGUUUUUAUAUAUUUUUUUCAAAUUCGAACAUUUUAAUAAUAUUUCUAUUUUAUAAAAAAAUAUUUUUUUCAAAUUUUCUUUUUAUGAGUAAAAAUGAAUAGAAUUCAUCUUCCAAUAACACUAGAUUUAGUUAGAAUAUUUUAAAAUUACUAAGAUUUGUAAAUGUAAUUAUUAUUAUUUAUAUUAAAAAUAUAAUUUUUUAAAAAAUAAUUAUAUAUUCAAAAAUGUAAAAGUAUAUAAAUGUAAUGAAUUAUAGUUUUGAACAUAUAGUUUCGAUUUAAGGUGCAAUAGAUAUUUGGUAAGAAUAAUUAUUUUGUUUUCUAAUAUAUUUAUCACAAAGAUUUUGAAAAUCACAUGGAUACAUAUGAUAUUUUUAAAGUUGAGUUUUAUGAGUAAAAAUGAAUAGAAUUCAUCUUCCAAUAACACUAGAUUUAGUUAGAAUUAGAGAAUCAAUAAUAACUAAACUUUUUGAAUAACAAGAGAUUUGAAUGGAUUUUGAAAAUUCUUAAACCAAUAAUAAUGGAUUCUACUAAGAUUUUUGAAAUCCAUGAACCAAUAACAAUAGAUUUUUAAAAUUCACAAAUUCUACACAAAUUCAUCUCUCAGUAAACCCCAUUAAACAUGAUAUGUUCGGUUAAUGGAAUCAUUAAUUCAUUUUAUUUAGUACGAACUCUAUUUUUUUUUUUUAACGAUUUAUGGUAAAUGUAAAUACCACCUUGGUUGUUACAAUUUGAUUUUGUAGAAAGUACAUCGCCGCCAUUUAAUCUUUAACCAUCAGGAAAGCUGACUCUUGUCUCUGAAUAGCGUGAACCAAACUCGGUUCGGUACAAUAUUUCCCUUUUUCCCUUCUUGGGCGUUUAAACGCUAAAUAGAUAAUAUCAAUUACAAAACAUGGGCUUUCUAUAGGCUCAUUCAAUAUCGUACGGCCCUGGAUUUCUUCGCGCCGCCUCUCUCUCGCACAUAAUUAUAUAAACGGUUUGAUUUUUUUUGAUGACUCUGGUAUCUGGGCAGACACAGUCCCAACUAUCCCUGUAGGAGGUCCAGCGCCCCAGCGGAAGAGAUGUUAAAUCCGCUGUGGCCGGGGCUCGAAGUCGUGAUGGCGGGCACCUCAGCCGAGGUUCCUUUACCACCAGACCACGAGGCCCGGUUUAAUUUUACUCCGUGCAGAUUUAGAUAGCUAAUCGGUUUGAUUCCGCAUUCGCAUCUUUCAAAGUAUAGACCGUUUCACGUACUAAGAAGAAACUUGACCUAGAAGGUUUUGUUGUUGCCUAGGAAGGAUAUAACCGUGAAAAGGUUUAAGAUUCGUAUAGUAAUCCAUAAUCGUGAAGUGUUUGUUAGGUUUAUUGUAUCGAGUCGAGGAAGUAGAAUUGUAGAAACCCUAAUUAUGUUUAGUUGACUUGCUAGAUGAUGAUAUGGUUUCUCUUUGUUUGAUUAUGAUUUUUGAGGACUGAUUUUUUGUUUUUUUAAACAAAAAUAUAUUCCCAGUUCUCAGGUGGCUUGCUUAUAAAUGGGUAAAAACAACAAGUCAGCUAAGGAGACAUUUUCAAUCUCAGCCUCAUCAUCCAGAGCCAAGCCUGCUCCUCUACAAGCUUCAUCCUGCUUAGAUCAUCGUCCCUCCUCAUCCAGACCCAGGCUUGCUCCUCUACAAGAUUUAUCCUACACCGCUGGCAUCAAUUUUCCUCCUUCUCUAGAAGAAGAAGAAGAAGAGAAUCAUGAUGUACAGAGACUUCUUAAGGGCAAGCAAACGCAAUUUGUUUUCCCCGUGAUCAGCAAUAAAAAACUAAAGAAGCUUGAGAGUAAAGAAAUAUUAGCUCUCCAGGCUGCAGAUACCGAUGUCUUGAAGGAUGACAUGAUGCAUUCACUGUUGUUAUGGGGAGCAAGGCCUCGGUUCUUGAGGGAGAAGACACACGUGAUGCCAACGUUAAAGACAUAACCAUCAAAGUCUUUCUCCGUCUCCGUUCGAGGCAAACAACUUCUUAAUAACGCCUCUCUCGUCAUCUCACAUGGAAGAAGGUAUGGUUUGGUGGGGCAUAAUGGAACAGGGAAGUCUACUCUGCUAAAGCUUUUAGCAUGGAGCAAGCUUCCAGUUCCCAAGAACAUUGACAUUCUUCUUGUUGAGCAAGAGGUGGCCAGUGAUGACAAGACUGCUGUAGAAGCAGUUGUUUCCGCCAAUGAAGAGCUGGUUAAGCUAAGAGAGGAAGCUUCAUCUCUGCUGCAGGAUUCUGAUAAUGGAGAAAAGCUCUCCGAACUGUACGAGAAGCUGCAGCUGUUGGCAGGGCCGGCUGAUGACCAGGGGCCAGCAGUGCACCCGCCCAGGGCCCAUUGUUGGAAGGGGCCCAUAAUUUUUUUUUUUAAUGUAGUAGUGUAAUUCUAUUUUUUGUAAACUAUACGUAUAAUGUUUUAGAAAAACGAAAUUAAUAAAUACAAAAUUUAUAAAUCUAACUUUAUGGAAACAAAAUCUUAUUUAUGUUAAUUUGAUUAAACUUUUACCAAAUUAUAAUUAAUAUUAAAAUAUUAUAAUCAACAUUAAAAGUAGUUAUCUAAUGUGAGCUUUUUAGGCAUGAGUGUAUUUCAUCAAGACGUCUUCAGUGACAAUACAAUUUUAAUACUCUCAAAAUCGUUGAUUCUUCAAGGAUUCUUACAUUGUUGAUUAGUUUAUGUAAGUGAUCUUUAAUAUUUUUUUUUACUAUCCUGUUUUUUGUUUAGAGAUCACUGAUUUUUUUUGGUAGAGCAAAAUAUUUUUUUCGUUUCUAAAACGUCUGAGGAUUUUUUUUUGUUUUCUUGUUUCAGGUAUCCAUUUCAGUUUCACUUUCAGCUUCAUCAAUUCAUUUUUUGAUUCUUAAAUCCAGGGGUACUUUUCUUUUUACUUAAAUUUUAGAAAUUAACUUGACUUUGAAGUAUAGCCGACUAAAGAUAUUAUAUUUUGAAGGUUUUUGUAGGAACAAAUGAUUUCAUUCUCAAGAAAAAAAAAGCUAUAAAAAGAGCAAGACUGUUUUACUUUUAUGGUUGUGCUUACAUUUUCAAACGAAAAGGAUUUUAUUUUACCCUGUAACCACAAUUUCAAAAUUUUAAUUUCAUCGGUUAAGGGUCACUUUUUUUAAUUUUGCCCUAGGGCCCGUAAAAGGUUUGAGCCGGCCCUGGCUGUUGGGGUCGGAUGCUGCUGAAGCGCAGGCUUCCAAGAUUCUUGCGGGGCUAGGCUUCACAAAAAUAUGCAAGUGCGUCCGACCAAAUCCUUCAGCGGUGGCUGGAGGAUGAGAAUAUCAUUAGCCGGAGCUCUCUUUGUGAAGCCUACUCUUUUGUUGUUAGACGAGCCCACCAACCAUCUCGACCUGAGAGCUGUUUUGUGGCUGGAGGAGUACUUGUGUCGCUGGAAGGACACUUUGGUUGUUGUCUCGCACGGACUUGAUUUCCUCAACACUGUCUGUACCGAUAUAAUAGAUUUGAAAGACCAGAAACUCAACUUGUACCACGGCAACUUCGAUGCUUACGAAAAAAAGUAUGGUCAGCUGCGUUAGGGGGCUAACAAAAAGUAUUUGAUUCACGAGAAACAACGGAUUAAAGCAGCGGGAGACGCAUCCAAGCGCAAGGGAAAGGGUAGAGGGAAGGAGGAGGAGGAAGAGGGGACAGCGCCAAAAGGUCCAAAGAGGUGGAGAGAUUAUAGGGUGAAGCUUAAUUUUCCAGAACCAACGGAGCUCGCUUCUCCUCCUCCUCUUCUGCAGUUGAUUGAGGUUAGCUUCAGCUACCCCGAGAGACCAGAUUUUAAGCUCUCGGAUGUUGACCUAGGCAUAGACAUGGGGACACGAGUGGUGAUAGUUGGGCCAAACGGAGCGGGUAAGUCCACUCUUUUGAAUCUUGUUGCGGGAGAUUUAGUUCCAACAGAGGGUGAAGUGAGGAGAAGCCAAACGCUGAGGAUCGGCAGGUACUCUCAGCACUUUGUUGACCAGUUAAAAAUGGAGGAGACACCGGUUCACUACCUUCUUCAUCUUCAUCCCGACCAAGAGGGCCACGUAAAGGCCGUGCGUGCCAAGCUGGGCAAGUUUGGGCUACAAGGUAACAACCAUUUCACUCCAAUCAAAAAUUUGUCUGGGGGACAAAAGGCUAGGGUUGUGCUAGCCUCCAUCUCAAUUAUGAAGCCACACAUAUUGCUUCUAGACGAGCCAACGAAUCACCUGGACAUGCAGACUAUAGAUGCUUUGGCGGAUGCACUGGAUGGGUUCAAAGGUGGAGUUGUGUUGGUGAGUCACGACUCGAGGCUCAUAUCACGUGUCUGCGAGGACGAGGAGAAGAGUGAGAUUUGGGUUGUAAAAUAUGGAACAGUGACCUUUUUCCAAGGCACUUUUGAAGAGUACAAAGAAGAACUCAAAAGAGAAAUCAAGGCAGAGGUUGAUGAGUUGAGCUAAAGGUCUCCUCAUUAACGUCUGAACUUCAAUGCAAUAAGCUGGCCGCUUAAUGCUAGCGGAUGUUUGUUUUAAAACUAAAUCUCCCUUGAACCCUCUGUGAUUUUUAACUCUUUGUUUAAUUAUUCGUCAUGUUUCAACCUUUUCUUGUUCAAAAUGUUAUAGAGAUGUAAUCUUUAUUCACCUUAUAGAUUAACUCUUUUAUCUGUUUAACCUAUUACUAGGUGACUUUUCCGUACUCAUGCAUGGGUAUAAAUAUUUAUAAAGUAAAUAUACUAUAAUAACUGAUUGUUAUUUAUUUCAAUUUUAAAUUAAUUUGUAAUUUGUAUGCAUAGUUUAUAUUAAUAAUAUUAUAUUACUUUAAUUAGACAUAUCAUUUUAGAUAUGUUAUAUCUAGUCGGUUUUGUUGUUUUUACAGUCGAUUUAGUUAUCUAUAUUAAGAUAUAUUAUGCUUAGAAUGAACUGAAAAAUAAACUAAAGUGUUUGAUUCCAAAUUAUAUAAAUUAAUAUAACAAUAAUAUUCUACAAUCUCAUGCAUAUAUAUAAAUUUUACAAAAGAACUAAAUUGUAAGAGUUGAUUAAUAUUUUAUUUUCAUUUGUUAAUAUGUUUUGAGUCAUCAUAUAAUUUACGUUUAUAAAAUAAAUUAUUAUUAUAAAAUUAUAUAUUCUUAUUGUAGUUAAAUCUAUGAUUUUAGAUAUAAGUUGGAUUAGUUGAGUCACUCAUGUUGUGAGUAUAUUGAGUUCAUAUAUUCUUUCAAAUUCAAACUGAAGUAUAUAAUUUUUAUUAUAAUUAAUAAAAUCAAAUUAAUUUUAUUUAUCGUUUAAUUGUGCAUGUAGUUUCAUAAUAUUUAUAAAAUUAUAUGUUGAUUUCUUUAAAACAAAAUAUUAGAAAAUAAAUAGAUGAUCAAUAGGAAGUUACAUACAUAAGCAACUAAUACAAUUUUGGAAGCUCAUGAACACAUAUCAAUAUUUAAAAUAAUUAAAAUAUUUAUAAAUUAUAAAUAAUUUUAUGCCUGAGAUUUAUUAAAUUGUAAACUGAAAUUUUAAAUAAUCUUUAAAAUAAGAAUUUAUAUUUGCUUUGGUAUUUUACUCAUGGUUAUAUUAAGUUCGACAAACAUAAAAAAAAUAAAAUUUAAAAGCAAAUCUAAUAUUAUGAAAACAAAUAAUUUUAAUAAUGAGAAAAUAUAAUAUAUCUACCUCGUUAAAGUAUAUAAUGUCAUGUUAUUUUGAAAGAUUUUGUAAUUAUUUGAUCAAAAGAUGUUUAUAGUUAAUUUUUUAUUUUUUAAUAUCUUUUGAAAAUAAGCAGUUUAAAAAAAGUGUGAUUGUAUUUUAGAAAUCAUAUUAUAUAUGUAAAAAAUAAUUUAUAGAUUUUUUUGCUGCAUUUGAAAGAUAUUUAUUCAACUAAAUAUAUGAAAAUAAAUAAAACAUUUUAAUAAUACUAAUUAUAAACUAUUUUCAGUUAAUUAAACAUAUAUCACUAUCUGUUUAUGUUACUUAACUAUUUUAUAUAAUUAUCUAAGAAAAUAGAUAGAUAUAUAAAAAAAACAUUUCUAUUACUUUGAAAUUAUGUUUUUUAAAAAAUAAUAUCUUUUUAAUAUCUAGAUUAUCUGAUGAAUUUAGUUUUAUGAAAUCACAUUAUAUACAAAUAUAUAUUUUCAUCUAAGAAAAUAUACUGAAAUAUUUUAUUACUUUAAAAGUAUAUUUUAUGUUAUUUAAAAAUAUUUUAAAUGGAAUAUUUAUAUUUUAUAAACUUUCCUUUGUUAAUGAAAUCAUAUUAUAUAUACAUAUAUUUUCGUUUUAAAACUUUAUAAAUGUUUUCUUUUUUAUUACAUAUGUUAUUUAGAAAAUUUUAAAAAGAAAACUAAAUAAAAAAUUCAAUAAUAGUAUUUAAAUGUAAUAUUUUUAAUUCAUUAAGGGUAUCAGUAUAAUCAACCAUUGUGAAAGUUAGCGUCAGCACGACACAUAAUUAAGAAACCGACUUGUCAAAUAAACUGGGUAUUAAUUGUUAAUAUUCCAUGUAAAAUGAAACAAUCACAAACCUUAAUUUUAUUGGAUCAAUGAUUUAAGACGAUUUUUUUUUCUUCAAACCCCCUCUUAUUGUAUCUAACAUUUAUAAAUUCCAUAUGAAAUCCAAGCUUAUUGGAUUAUUCAUUUGUAUAAGUUCUCUCAAAUUCUAGCUUAUUGGAAAAUAUGAAUUUUGUAAAUAAAAUUUAUCAAAUGUGAUUUGGUGGGUUCGGAUCGUAUUUAUAGUAGAAAACAAUGAAUUGAAAUACCACCUCUUAUGAUGGUAUUUGAAACUUUUUUUGAAAAAAUUAAAAAAUGCACAUUUUUAAAAAGGAAAUUAAACUAUUUGCAAUGAAAAAAUAAUAAAAAUUUAUUUCAAAUUGAUUUAAAAAACAUUUACAUAUUUUAUAUAUUUCAUAAAAAAAUAAAAAAAUUAAAUAUUAAUAAUUUUAAAAUAAAAAAUUUAUUUUAAAUAAAAAUUAAUAAGUUUUUUUCAAAUCCUUGAUUCAAUAAGCCCCAGCAAAUCUUUUGAAAAUAAGUAGUUUUUAAGAAAAUGUGUAAUUGUAUUUUAGAAAUCAUAUUAUAUAUGUAAAAAAUAAUUUAUAGUUUUUUUUUGCUUUAAUUGAAAUAUAUUAUAUUCAACAUUUCAAUAAUAUUAAUGAUAAACUAUUUUCAGUUAAUUAAACAUAUAUCACUAUUAGUUUAUGUUACUUAAUUAUUUUAUGUAAUUAUCUAAAAAAAAUAGAUAGAUGUAUGGAUCUGUAACUAGACACAUGGAUAACUAUGUUUAUGAUAUUAUUAAAAGUGAAAAAAUAUAAUAACGAAGAAUAAAUAUUCGCGCGGAUGCGCGGAUCAAAAGCUAGGGUAGGUUAUAGGAGAAACUUGGAGAGGUGUUAUUUUUGGUUCGGUUUGCAUAAUUGAUUAUGCUUCUCAAACUGGUUGUUUGGUGCAUUCCGAAAUGCUAGGAAUCAAUAGGCAAGCGGUUAAGUGAAUUUCUUUGACCAAACAAAACGUAUUUAGCAACCAACUAGGCAACUACGAUUAUUACAAAAACGUCGCUUCACAGUUGAUUGUACCAUAUCACAUGAUGCAUUGCAACACAUAUAUCUCACGUGUACUUUUUAAUUUUUAGAACCUCUAUAAAUUAAUACUCGAUAAAUUAAUAAUCUUUAUAAAUUAAUAAAUUUUAUCGGUUCCAACUUAAGGCCGUGUAAAAUAUGACAUAAAUCAAUAAAAUAAUAAGAUAAUAAUAUUUUUAAAACUCUCAUGUAAAUAUAUAGUCCCAUUAAAAUCAUAAAUUAAUAAUCUAUCUCUAUAUAUUGUUUAUAUAAGUAAAAACUAAACAUUAUAUUGGUUGUUUUAUAUUCACAAAGAAAAUACUUUUAUUUUUCUUUAUAUUUUAAUAUAUUUUGAUAAUAUUUAAUUAUCGAUAACCACAUAAUAAUUCUAUGAAACAUAAAAAUAUAAACCAAAUAAGAUAAUAAAAUAAUAUGAAAGUCAAAUUUCUAAAAUUUAAAUAAUGUAUAUACGGUAAAAUCAAAUAUUUUUUUAUUUUAUUAAUAAAAAUAUUCAAAAAUAGAAAAAAUAGAAAAAAUCUCAAAAAUGAAACUUUUGUAAAUUAAUAUCUCUAUAAAUUAAUAAAAUUUUAAAGCCUAACAUUAUUAAUUUAUAGAAGUUCUACUGUAUCUAUGAACCACUUAAAAUUUUUGGGCCUCUAUCCCUACUUAUUUUUUAAAAUAUUUGGACUUUUUUUAGCAUCUUAUAUAUUAAAACAGAAGUCACAACCUUGAUUCAUGUGUGAUUUUUUUAAAAAUAGACCUAAUGGACCUAUUACUAAAAAGUCAUAUCACAUUUAAUCUCUAAUCUUAUCAUUAUUAUGCCUAACUAAUCGAAACUAUAUGACAACAAUACACCUAAAAUUCUGGUUUGGAUAACCAGCAUAAAUUAUCUUCAAAUAAAUAGAAUUAUAACGUGCAACUUAUUGAAUGUACUUAACCACUGAAUAAACAGAAGUCAAACCUAACAUUAUAAAAUUCUAGCUUCGGUUUGUUCUAAACAUUUUAUUAUAAAAUUAUAGCACCGGUUUAGUCUAAACAUUUUAUGUGAAAAUCUCGACCACAAGUUUGAUUCAAAUUACCUUUUAUCUUUUGGUUUUGGUGUGACUAUAUUGCCGGUUAACCAGUUAUACCAACGUUAUACGUAUCUUAUGUGAUCUAAUAAAAAAAAAUAUAUCUUAUCUAUUAAAAUAGAAAUGAUGACUUUUUUCAUGUGUGAUAAUUUAUUUAGAUCAUCAUUUAAAAACUUUAUUAAAUAUGUUUCCUUAAUACUAAUAUAAUAUAAAAUUUAUAAUUACUUAAAUCAUAAUAUCUUUUGAUAUCUUUUAAAUUAAAUUAAAAAUAUCUAUAUUUAAAAAUUCUAACAAAUCUUUUGAAAAAGAUUAUAACAAGAUCUUAACUGUCAAAAUUCUACAUAAAUAUUUUCAUUAAUUUCGUAGUUAGUAAUGAAAUGAUAUUAUGAAUUAAUAUAUAUAUAUAUAUACUGUUAUCUUUUAUAAAAUGAAAAAAAAAAUCAUUGUCCUAUUUUAUCUAUUUAUAAUAACAUCUACCAUUUUAAAAUAAAACCAUUAUAUUGAACUAAAUAUGAUAAAAUUAUUUGAAAUUGAUAAGUUCAUAUAUUUUACUUUCAUAAAUAUAAAAUAUUUUAUGCUAAAAUAUAAUAUGCUGGUAGAACAGCUUAACAUCAGUAAAUUAUAUAAUACAUGUAUAAAAAUUAACUUAUCUUAAAAUUGUAUAUAUACAGUAAUUAAUUAUCUAAAAUAAAUAAACAAUAUAUAUAUAUAAUACAUAUUUUAAAAACUCCAAUGUGAAUAACCCGCAUUGGAGGUGCUCUUACCUUCGUUAAACAUGUGAGAGAGAAUGAAAAAAAAAAAGACAACAAAAAUGGCAUUUAUGAAAUGGUAGGACACGAGGUUAAAGAGGAAGAAGAAGCCAAACCAACACAUGAAAGAUGACAAGUACUAUUAGCUCUUUCCUGUUUGUCACCGGUAGAAGUCCAAUCCCACUUUAAAAUCGUUUUAUCGUAGAUUGGCCUCGAAUCCCUUCUGACCAGGUCCAUGACUUAUCAACUACUUCUCCUUCCAUAACGGUCGGGACUUGAACGAUAGAUAAUUUUGAGGAGGACAAAACUCAUUCUUCUAUUUUCUUAUUAUGAUACAAAAUGCAACAAGUAAGCUGUUAAAGCGAUUAAAGAUUCUGUUUCGUAUUAUUUAUAAAACAAAAUUGUGACAAAUUGUAAUGGUGAAUAGUAUUUCGAGUGAAAUUACCUGGAAUGCAAUGUUGAUUUCCAGCUUUGAGGAUUUGAAAAAAAAAGCAUAAUCCAUCAUUUGAUUUCAAAAACUGUUUGUAGGGGAUAUUCUCUAGCAGAAGCAGAAGCGUAUAAAAGUAAUUAGUAGAAAAAAAAAAAAAAAAAAAAAAAGGGAGAACGACAAUACGUCCAGUGAUAAUCCACCAUAAAAAGUCACGUUUUCCACCUAACUCAAAAGUCACAAGCAGCUCCAAUAACCACUCGAUCUCUAUAAAAAGCAAGAAACCCCAAUCCUUAACAACAUAUACAAACAAAUUUUUCUUAUAGGUAACAAUGGCAGAAGCUAGGCAGAGGAAGUGGCAUGUGUUUCAGACCAAGGAUGAAUUGUCGGUAGCAAUUGCUAAGUACACUGCCCAUCUCUCGGCCAAGUUCUGUAAGGAGAAGGGCCUUUUCACAGUUGUUCUCUCCGGCGGUGGCCUCAUCGACUGGCUCUGGUCUACAAAUCUUCCCUAUUUCACUCUCCUUCUUCUUUUUUUUAAUAGGAAAAUCUAAUAAUAUAUGAUGUUUUGAUUAAUCAAAUGUUGCAGCAAGUUAUUGGAACCUCCUUACAAAGAUUCAAUCGAAUGGUCAAAGUGGCACGUCUUUUGGGUCGAUGAGAGGGUUUGUGCAUACGAAGAUCCAGACAGCAACUAUAAACUCGCCAUGGAUGGUUUUCUCUCCAAGGUUUAACUAUUUUUUUCGAUUAGUUAUCACCUAUCAUAUAACAAGUGGUAUAGAUAUUUAUAUAUAUAUAUAUGUAUUAUUCCGUAAUGCAUAUAAAACAAUUUCAUUUUUUUGGGUGUAUCUAGGUUGGGAUUCCGAAUGAGAACAUCUAUGCAAUCGACAAACACUAUGCCGCUGAUGGUAACGCGGAGCACUGCGCGGCGCUCUACGAGGAGUGUUUGAGGAACCUGGUGAAGCAAAACAUACUCCCACUAUGUCCAAAUGGCAAGUAUCCUCAGUUCGAUCUCCAGCUUCUAGGGAUGGGUCCUGAUGGCCACAUGGCGUCUCUCUUCCCUGGACAUCCACAGAUCAAUGUCAAGGACAAAUGGGUCACUCACAUUACUGACUCUCCAAAACUGCCACCUAGGAGAAUCACAUUCACUUUACCGGUCAUUAACUCGGCUUCGUACAAUCUUAUGGCCGUUUGCGACGACCACACAGAGCAGUGUCCACGCUCCAUCGCUGAUAUCUUUAAGCACAACAAUCUCGCCUUACCUGCUGCUCAUCUUACUGCCCAUGUCGAAACUAUGUGGUACCUUGACAAAGCAGCUGCCUCAUUGCUUUAGAGAGUCAAACACCUUAAUAAUGGUGUCCUUUAUAUGAAUAAUAAUCUCCCUAGGUCAUGAUUUGUGGAGCGUGUUGUUGGAGUUUGCUUGCAUGCGUGUUAAAUUACCGGCUAAUAAUGCAUUUUUUUGCGUAUGUAACUAUGUAUUUUACAUACCAAAUGUAUUGAAACGCCGAUUUGUUGUUUAUGUC